rnacentral:rRNA from 1 species
AUUGAACGCUGGCGGCAGGCCUAACACAUGCAAGUCGAACGAGUGGCGGACGGGUGAAUAAUUUCUGGGAACCUGCCUUAUGGCGGGGUCUAACUACUAGAAACGGUCGCUAAUACCGCAUACCCUCAGGUGUGCCCAGAUGGGUUUAGCUAGUUGGGGGGGUAACGGCUCACCAAGGCGACGCUCCCUAGCUGGUCUGAGAGGAUGACCAGCAACACUGGAACUGAGACACGGUCCAGACUCCUACGGGAGGCAGCAGUGGGGAAUAUUGCACAAUGGGCGCAAGCCUGAUGCAGCCAUGCCGCGUGUAUGAAGAAGGCCUUCGGGUUGUAAAGUACUUUCAGCGGGGAGGCGUUACCCGCAGAAGAAGCACCGGCUAACUACGUGCCAGCAGCCGCGGUAAUUC